CAGGCGGAAGUCUGCAAGAAGGCGGCAGCUGGAGCCAGGUUUACAUACUGUAUAUGCUAAUCGGGUCUAUGACUCGCUCAGAGACACACGGCCAAGCCUCCUCACUGGACAGCCUGUCUCCUCCUACUGAGGCCACUUGGGUCCCUUAAGAAGUUUGGCAAAGGGCAGGCACCACCGCACCGCUGCACCUCGGCACCCCUGGCACCGCGAGGAGCCCGGGACAGGGUGACAUGGAGGCCAAGAGGGAAGACGAAGCAGGGGCUGGGGGCUGGCUCCUCAGAGAGAUCCAGGAGAGGGUCAGAGAGAGAAAGAAUGAAGGACUCAAAGACCUGGAGAAUCACACAGAGGAUCCGUCCCAGCAAUGGAAGAGGCUCCCAAAUGGAGAGGGGAAAUCCAGCGAGCCAGAGGUGGUCCUCCUUGCUUCCGGCAAACCCCCCUUACUGAGUGCUUAACUCUUGUGUUGAGGGGAGACAUGGAGAGAGGGAAGAGAGGGGAGAUGGGUCGGAGCUCUUCCGCAAGGGUGGAAAAGAAAGAGAAAGUGAGGUGGACUGGCAAAAUGGAUGGAAUAAAAAUAAUGGUAAUUGUGACA